rnacentral:rRNA from 1 species
UACGAGGGGGGCAAGCGUUGUUCGGAAUCACUGGGCGUAAAGGGCGCGUAGGCGGGUCCGCAAGUCGAUCGUGAAAUCCUUCAGCUCAACUGAAGGGGGGUCGGUCGAUACUGCGGGUCUUGAGGGAUGCAGAGGAGACUGGAAUUCCCGGUGUAGCGGUGAAAUGUGUAGAGAUCGGGAGGAACACCGGUGGCGAAGGCGGGUCUCUGGGCAAUUCCUGACGCUGAGGCGCGAAAGCGUGGGGAGCAAACGGG